GUACAUUUUAAUUACUUGCUGUCUUCACUGGAGUGCAGUGCUGCAAGCUCGAAGUGUGAUCCGUAGUAGCUGUUAUUCAAUACCAUGGCUGUGUAUUGCCAACAAUUUCCUGAUACGAUACGUAUCCCGAUACAAGGUCACGUACUUUGAUUUCAUACAUCAAUCAGUGUAUACAAUGCCACUUCAAGAUGAACACACCUAAUAUCAGCUUACCCCCAAGCCAUCCAAGAGAUGCUCUUAAGGACAACGCCCUGAUGUCCAAGGUCAAUCAGCAAGAAGCUGAGAAGGCACUGUCAAAUUGGUUCACUGGGGCAAGGGACAGAGGAGGACAGAGAGCAUCAAGAAUGCAGAAAAGGAUGUCUGUUUGAGAAAGGUUAUAACUACAGUUGCUGAUUUGAACUGUCAUAGUUCUUUUAUUUUUCUUAAAGGAAAACCUUUUUCAAUAUUUUACCAUGUUCUUCCCUCAACUUAGAUUAAUUAAUACAUACCUCUAUUUUCUCAAUGCGUGCACUUAAAGGUGGGGUGCACAAUUUCUGAAAAAUAAAGUUUUGGAAAAGGGAGUCGGGCCGACUACCAAAACACACUUGUAGCCAAUCAGCAGCAUGUCUACUAACUGACAUCGUUUCCUGCGUUGCGUAUUUGUGGGGCGGGUCUAUCAAAAAAAGGUCCAGAUUCUAUUAGUGUAAGCGUGUGUUUGUUUAGAUGAUUUCAAAUGUAAACAUUGGCUUUCAUGCACCCUGCCUUUAUUUGUUGUGAAUUGUGGCGUGAAUAUGUUAGCAUUUAGCCUAGCACCAUUCAUUCAUUAAGAUCCAAACAGGGAAGAAUUUAAAAGCCACCAAACACGUCCAUGUUUUCUAGGGGUGCACGAUUCAGAAAAUUUCACGAUUCGAUUCCGGGGUUUUUUUUUUUUGGCUCAAGAUUCGAUUAAAAACAAACGAUUUUCGAUUUAAAAACGAUUCUUGAUUUUAACAAACGAUUCACAUUAUGUAAAUGUAGUUUACUUUUUCCUAUGUGACUGAUUGAAGUAGAUAUACAAUUUUAAAGAAAAGAAACACAACAAGCUAAAUGUAGUUUGAUGUUACUUUAUGUCUUUAUGCAAAAAUAAAAACUGUUAUGAAGCAAUUAGAUGACCCCUUUUAUCAAACUCUAUUAAAUACAAUAAUAUAGUACAUUAAUGAUAGACAGUGCAGGUCUAUAGAUUAUAAAUGUGACUGGUGUUAUAAUGGUUAUUAUUUCUAUUAGAUAGGCACUUUUCCUGCUUCUGCUCUUUCUAUCUAUUUCUCUCUUGCAGAUUUAAAAAAGCUAAAUCCACUCAUUAUUUCAGAUUGAAAAGUCUACUUGCUGUUAGUGACAGGGGACUUUACAUUACAGCUUUGGGUUUUGUAAAUCUUGAGUCAGCUUGAGUUUUGCUCAUUCAGUGCAAUAGAUUUUGGAAAAGAUAUGGUUUAUUAAUAAUAAUAGAAAAGAGCCAGUUGUUAUCGCCAUAGAAACCGUCGGCACGCUGAAACUGCACGCAAGCUUUAGCGCGGUAGCGCUCACGGCCAUUCUCCGAUCGACUUAGGUUUUACACACAAUAUUAAUCAGACUUGGGACCCGAAGUAAUUUAACUAUGACUGACCCGGACCGGGCUGACCAUUUCAAAUACAAACCCGGAACCAUACGGGCCGCGGGUGCUCCGUGAAGUCCUCUAAUGGUAAAACUCUGCUCAAGUUCAGAAACAUGAAGGAUACAAUGUGACACGAGCUUGUUCACGUCGCAUCCCAAUUCAUUGAGAAACAGAGAGCACGUGAACGCACACCGAACUUCUCAUGUCGCACACAAAAUGUCAUUAUUAAAGAGUGUCAUCAUCACAGAAAAACAUAAAAGACUAAAUUUGAUGCCAGAUAUACUUGGGCACUUGUUAAUAUAACUGGGCAGCGCGCCCAAGUAAAGUCAAUAUGUGGGAAACACUGUGACAAGAGUGUGCGGGCGUCAGAGUGAAUACGACGCAGCGUCAUCUAUGGGAAUACUGAGAUAAACUAAUUUCAGGACAUUAGUAACACAGCAUUACAAAAAAAUUUAUGAAUCGAUUUUUGGAAUUCUAUUAAUCAAAUGUGAAUCGAUUUUUUUGCACACCCCUAAUGUUUUCCCUAUUCAAAGACUGUUACAUGAGUAGUUACACGAGGAAGUAUGGUAAAAAAUAUAACUAUAUUGCACUUAGUUUGUAGCACUUCGACCUUGGGCACAGUAACAUCAUCACUCCUGACUACUCCCCUUCUUGCUUAAACUACGGUCAAUAUAACCAAC